rnacentral:ncRNA from 1 species
AAGGACAAAUGAGAGGCUGAAAUGAACCUAAAUAUAUCAAUACCUGGAGAGAAGUAUGUAUGUUGUAUUUUAUGCUUCAUACUCAUACUAUACUAUAUAUACACGUCCUUACUGUAUUUAUCUGACUGCUAUAGUUACAUAAAAACGUAUACUAAGCUUAGAAACUAUAAUGCCUAGCAGCUGACUUAGGGCUGGUGCAGACCAGGGGAACUCCUGCAUGCUUACUCCAGCAGGAGUAACUAUGACUCUCUUAAGGCCGACAAAUGCCUCGUCAUCUAAUUAGUGAUGUGCAUGAAUGGAUGAACGAGACUCUCUACCUACUAUCUAGCAAAACCACAGCCAAGGGAACGGGCUUGG